GUAAUUACUUGGUAUUACGUUAAGAAUUAGUUGUUUGAGAAUUAUGUACUUAAAUUGCAUUACAAGCAUGGUCUUGGCACAAAUGCUGUGGUCUUUAUGUAGCUGAGUUUAAUCAAGUGUUUGCCUGAGCAAGAACGUGCGUUGUGCAGACUCAACCCCAUGUUUUUGAGGGCAUUCUGCUCUGCCCCCGACCGUGCUGUUGGCGUGUUGCAGGACGCGGACCUGUUAGUGCUGGAGAGCUGAGCAGCCCCAGUGAGCACACCAAAGGUGAGAACAUAUUCAAAGCCUUUCUUUGUCUUGACCGUGAAAGUUUUUAACGGAUGUACUAAGUCCCGAGAUCGUUAAUUGAUUAAAUGCCACACGACCACGUUUCUC
rnacentral:lncRNA from 1 species